CUUUAGUGUAUAUAAGGUGAACCCUUGAUCUCCACAACACGCUUCUACCAUCUCACUGCAGAAGGGAGCUAAGAGGCUAAUUUUUAGUAUUCAGUCACCAUCUUCUCAACACAUCAGUGUUCUCCACUGCUGCAAAAAUGAAAAAGCCAAUCUUGGUUGCUGUGAUCCUUCAGCUGGUGAUCACAAUAAUAGAGAUUAAUGGGUACCAAUUUGGAGAUAUAAUUGUGUUUCCCAGGAAAUGUCUCAAGAACACCGCAAAGCCCUUGUACAUGCACUAUGCCAUUUAUGUGGGCCCAAAGUCAGAAAGAGACAUUGGCCAAGGUGAUAAUGACAUAGUUCACCGCACAGGUGACUGGGAUAGGUCAAACUGCAGAUUUGACAAACUUGCAAAAGUUAGAGAUAAUCAUCAAGAGAAGAAGGACAAUUACCUCGAUGGCAUUAAAGGCUUCAAACCAGGAUCCCCGGACGAAAUUGCAAAGCGAAUUGAAAAAGCCUUGAAGAACUGUGAAAGAUAUGACCUCCUUA